GUUUGCCGCGGAACCUUGACCUCGGCCCCGCCCGGGGCUUCCUGCGGGUGGGGCGGCUCCGGGAUGAGCUCUGCUGCGGGUGGGGUCAGCCCUUACCCGCUGGCCAUUUCCGUUCCCUCUUUUUUCUUCUUUUUUCCACGCCUCAGGUGUCUCAGCGGAUGUACUACGGUGACGAAGUGUCUACAGCUAUAAUUUGUCCUUGGAACACUGCUUUUGCUACAUCCCAUAGAUUUUGGAGUCUGGUCUGUCUCUGUUGCCCAGGCUGGAGUACAUGGUACCAUCAUAGCUCACUGCAGCCUCAAACUCCUGAGCUCAAGUGAUCCUCCCACCUCAGCCUCCUGAGUAGCUGAGACUAUCGGCUGCACUACCACACCUGGAUAGCACCUUUCGAUAAGUAUAACAGAGUGUCCCCUCCCCUCCUCUCCCUCCACCCCUCCCUCCUUCCCUUCCUUCCUUCCUUUUUACAGAGACAAGUUCUCACUAUGUUGCCAGGCUGGUCUCGAACUCCUGGGCUCAAGUGAUACUCCUGCCUUGGCCUCUCAAAGUGCUGGGAUUAGACGUGAGCCACUGUGCCUGGCCUAAGUCAGUAUUUCUACAAGCAAUGGAAGAGAUUGCUGAUUUUUGUUUGUUUUCAGUUAAAUACCAGGUAAGUUCAAUGACUUGCUUUGACAGGACAUCUUAUAUGAAAAAUACCUAUCUUUGAACACUAGAAUCAAACUCAGGAAGUUGAGCUAUGUACACUAUGAUAGGUACAAGGGAAAGAGACCGGUUUGAGAGAACAGUGGAUUCACAACUUCCAUCUAACACGAAUGUGAUCCAUAUAUACAUGGAGAGCAGACAUCUAAACAACUGGAAACACAGCAGAAGGGCAUGCUUUUUCGAAAUUGUUACCUUUCUCAUUUUCGCUCAGUACCCAUAUAGCUGAACUCACGUAAUGAAAUGUUCAUAGAAUGUGACCCUAUUCUCUGCUACAAUUAGAGGGAUUUGUGAAACUUUUGUCAUUUAAUAAAACCAUUAGUUGUAAUUAUUUAUUAAAUCAAUUCAUAUGUUCCUCUCUUUUCACAUUCAAAUACGUUUUAAUAGGAAUGGCAAUAUAUUUUAAUGCUCCAGAGGAAAGAGUAGAACUCUGGCCAUUGUACAUUCUUUAUUAAACAUCAAUACUGAAAACAGAUUUACUGACAUAUGUAUAUAAAUAUAAUCAAA
rnacentral:lncRNA from 1 species